UACGUAGGGGGCUAGCGUUGUCCGGAAUCAUUGGGCGUAAAGCGCGCGUAGGCGGCCAGAUAAGUCCGGUGUGAAAGUCACAGGCUCAACCUGUGAAUGCCGCUGGAAACUGUCUGGCUAGAGUCCGGAAGGGGCGAGUGGAAUUCCUGGUGUAGCGGUGAAAUGCGCAGAUAUCAGGAGGAACACCGGUGGCGAAGGCGGAUCUCUGGGCCUGUUCUGACGCUGAGGCGCGAAAGCUAGGGGAGCGAACAGG
rnacentral:rRNA from 1 species